GUGGUUCCUCAUUGCUAAGGACUCAGCUGUUGCUCAAAGCCCUUUCAUCUAUUCUGGUCCUCCCUGAAACUUCAUUGGAAGACAGAAUGGAGAGACAUCAGAUAUUGCUUGACCAUGGAAGUCCUUCUUUAUGUGUGAAGGUUGGGCUGCCCAUUCUCAAAUACUGAGAAAGAAACAAGAGCCCAAGCUCAUAUUGCAAGGUAUUUCUUACGUGCGGAUCUUGUUGACUCUCACUUCCAGACACCAGAUCCUGCGCGAUUUUCUGCAUCUUCCUUCCCUCAGUGGAUCUGAAAUGGCUGUGGUUUAUGUUUGUCAAGCAUGAGACUCACCCGGCAUUCCCUUGGGCUAACCCUGCGAGAGGCUGUGGAUGGCGGAUGACUCACCUGUGAGCUGCAAUGGACAACUUCAGGGGCUCCCUUUUGGGCCAUAUGCAGCCUGUCCAUAAUGUAUCAUGAACUUGCACGUACCUAAGGUACUAAGGACAUCUAAGUGAUGUUAAUGUCAGGGCGAUGACAGUCCUCUGGUACUUACUUUUCUAAUUGUUUGAGUGGCAGCCUCCACAAAGGAGCUGAUGCUCAGUGUCUCAUUUUAUAGCAUCUCUUAUUUCUAUUCCUUCUCCAGGGGAGCUGAGUACUUUUCUAAUUGUUUGAGAAGAGACUAUACCUGAGAUCCUGAUUCAGUUGUCUCUCCACCUAUUGAAUAACCUGCUGGUAGAUGGAGAGAGAAAACUGAGGGUAGAAAGAACCCGCUCCACCUUGCCCCCCUUAGUCCCCUGCCUUGACGUGUAUGUGUGCAUACUUAUGUGCAGAUGCUUGUGUAUAUGUGCCUGCAUGUACUUCGUCUGUUUCUCAUUACCGAGUUGAGAGAGCAUUCGUGGAGAAUAUGGUCAUGGUGUUUUCCUCUAUAAAAUGAAUCUCAGAAGUUUAGGAAUGGUAAAAAUAAAAA
rnacentral:lncRNA from 1 species